rnacentral:sRNA from 1 species
UUGUAAAUGCGUGAGGGAUAGUAGUGGAAACCCUUUUUUGUCGGCCUUAGGAGGACAGAAAAGAUUGUAACGGAUAGCCCGACCCAAG